rnacentral:rRNA from 1 species
CUACGGGCGGCACCAGUGGGGAAUAUUGGACAAUGGGGGAAACCCUGAUCCAGCAAUGCCGCGUGUGUGAAGAAGGCCUGCGGGUUGUAAAGCACUUUCGGUUGGGAGGACUGCUUCUAGCACUAAUAUUGUUGGAAGUUGACGUUACCUUCAGAAGAAGCACCGGCUAACUCCGUGCCAGCAGCCGCGGUAAUACGGAGGGUGCAAGCGUUAAUCGGAAUUACUGGGCGUAAAGCGCGCGUAGGCGGCUAGAUCAGUCGGGUGUGAAAGCCCGGGCUUAACCUGGGAACUGCAUCCGAUACUGUCUAGCUUGAGUACAGGAGAGGAGAGUGGAAUUCCACAUGUAGCGGUGACAUGCGUAGAUAUGUGGAGGAACACCAAUGGCGAAGGCAGCUCUCUGGCCUGAUACUGACGCGGAGGUGCGAAAGCGUGGGGAGCAAACAGGAUUAGAUACCCGGGUAGUC